GACGAACGCUGGCGGCGUGCUUAACACAUGCAAGUCGAACGAUGAAAGAGGAGCUUGCUCCUCUGGAUUAGUGGCGAACGGGUGAGUAACACGUGAGCAAUCUGCCCUUGACUCCGGAAUAACUACGGGAAACUGUAGCUAAUACCGGAUAUGCGCCGAACAGGCAUCUGUAUCGGUGGGAAAGAAGUUCGGUCAGGGAUGAGCUCGCGGCUUAUCAGCUUGUUGGUGGGGUAACGGCUGACCAAGGCGACGACGGGUAGCCGGCCUGAGAGGGUGACCGGCCACAUUGGGACUGAGACACGGCCCAGACUCCUACGGGAGGCAGCAGUGGGGAAUAUUGCACAAUGGGCGCAAGCCUGAUGCAGCAACGCCGCGUGAGGGAUGACGGCCUUCGGGUUGUAAACCUCUUUUAGCAGGGAAGAAGCGAAAGUGACGGUACCUGCAGAAAAAGCGCCGGCUAACUACGUG
rnacentral:rRNA from 1 species